UACGGGGGGGGCAAGCGUUGUUCGGAAUUACUGGGCGUAAAGGGCUCGUAGGCGGCCAACUAAGUCAGACGUGAAAUCCCUAGGCUCAACCUAGGAACUGCGUCUGAUACUGGAUGGCUUGAAUCCGGGAGAGGGAUGCAGAAUUCCAGGUGUAGCGGUGAAAUGCGUAGAUAUCUGGAGGAACACCAAUGGCGAAGGCAGCUCGCUGGGACGGUACUGACGCUGAGGCGCGAAAGCGUGGGGAGCAAACAGG
rnacentral:rRNA from 1 species